rnacentral:rRNA from 1 species
AAUGAACGCUGGCGGCGCGCCUAAUACAUGCAAGUCGAGCGAGAAGACGUAGCAAUACGUUUGUAAAGCGGCGAACGGGUGAGGAAUACAUGGGUAACCUACCCUCGAGUUGGGAAUAACUAGCCGAAAGGUUAGCUAAUACCGCGUACGCUCCUUGGACUUCGGUUCAGGGAGGAAAGCGAUACCGUGGGUAUCGCGCUCUUGGUUGGGCUCAUGUCCUAUCAGCUUGUUGGUGAGGAACGGCUCACCAAGGCUUCGACGGGUAGCUGGUCUGAGAGGACGAUCAGCCACACUGGCACUGCGACACGGGCCAGACUCCUACGGGAGGCAGCAGUAAGGAAUAUUGCGCAAUGGGCGAAAGCCUGACGCAGCGACGCCGCGUGGGGGAUGAAGGUCUUCGGAUUGUAAACCCCUUUCGGGAGGGAAGAUGGAACGAGCAAUCGUUCGGACGGUACCUCCAGAAGCAGCCACGGCUAACUUCGUGCCA